AUACAGACAACGGGGAGCUCACUUAAGUGGGCUGAGAGUAAGCUGUUCAUGCUUAGACCCAUUACCUGAUUUGGAUAAUGCCAACGUAGGGACCAUAGGAGAUCAUAUG
rfam:Clostridium sp. FS41 CLFS41_contig000062, whole genome shotgun sequence.